rnacentral:lncRNA from 1 species
CAAGAGGUCCCCUCUCCAGGAGACAUCUAAGUAUGUCUCAUUGGCCAGAGCUAUGUCACAGGGCCACCCUAGCUGCAAGGAAGUCUGGGAAAGAGGAUAUCUUGCCAAAGACUAUGCACAUGUCUUCCAUGAACAAAUCUGUGCUUCUUCAGUGAAGGAGAAGGGCCGGAUAAUAUUGGUGGGACCUGGAAGAGUCUACCCUCACACAGCCUGGUGGAGAUGGUCAGGGGUUACAGAAGAGCAAGCUGGCUGGAGCAGCAGCCACCCCCCACACACGUGCCGCAUUUGCCUUCAGCUUAGAUCACACCCUGAUGCUUCCAUGAGGAUGCUGAGUCAAGAAAGCAGUCUUAGGGUGUGGACAAGAGGAGCUUCUUCAUGCAGCACUGCUAACUCUGCAUGUUUAUUCCAGCUACUGACAUGGUUUCCAAUUCUGUGAGAUUCAUAAGGGGGAAGGGAAUAAAAUUUCAGCUACCCUUAGGUAGCAUAUUUGCGUCCUCUGUGUCUUUCUCGAGUUUGUGCCCUUCUGUGCCUUUGUGUGUGGCUUAAAUAUUGAAGAAUCAAAGGCUGCCACGCCAGCAGACAGCUGUGCCACAUCACAGGCAUUCCACAGGCAAUUCCUCACUCCCACUUUUUUGACAGUUGCACCAG